UACAGAGGGGGCAAGCGUUGUUCGGAAUUACUGGGCGUAAAGGGCGCGUAGGCGGCCGCCUAAGUCAGACGUGAAAUCCCUCGGCUUAACCGGGGAACUUCAUCUGAUACUGGAUGGCUUGAGUUCGGGAGAGGGAUGUGGAAUUCCAGGUGUAGCGGUGAAAUGCGUAGAUAUCUGGAGGAACACCGGUGGCGAAGGCGGCAUCCUGGACCGACACUGACGCUGAGGAGCGAAAGCCAGGGGAGCAAACGGG
rnacentral:rRNA from 1 species